CAAGGAAAGCUAGUAGGUUGUAAAGUUCUCCAAUAUUAUGAUGUAGUUCUCAACUAUACAACCUACUACCUCACCCUG
rnacentral:pre_miRNA from 1 species